GACGAACGCUGGCGGCGUGCCUAAUACAUGCAAGUCGAACGCACUCUCGUUUAGAUUGAAGGAGUUUGCUCCUGAUUGAUAAACAUUUGAGUGAGUGGCGGACGGGUGAGUAACACGUGGGUAACCUGCCCUAAAGGGGGGGAUAACAUUUGGAAACAGAUGCUAAUACCGCAUAAAACCUAACACCGCAUGGUGUAGGGUUGAAAGAUGGUUUCGGCUAUCACUUUAGGAUGGACCCGCGGUGCAUUAGUUAGUUGGUGAGGUAAAGGCUCACCAAGACCGUGAUGCAUAGCCGACCUGAGAGGGUAAUCGGCCACACUGGGACUGAGACACGGCCCAGACUCCUACGGGAGGCAGCAGUAGGGAAUCUUCCACAAUGGACGAAAGUCUGAUGGAGCAACGCCGCGUGAGUGAAGAAGGUUUUCGGAUCGUAAAACUCUGUUGUUGGAGAAGAAUGUAUCUGAUAGUAACUGAUCAGGUAGUGACGGUAUCCAACCAGAAAGCCACGGCUAACUACGUG
rnacentral:rRNA from 1 species